ACGUAUGGCAACAUUUGCCUCGCCAUUUUGUUUUUUCUUUUGUCGUCAAUGGUGGAAACGCUAUCAUACGGUAAAGAAACGACGCAGUUGCUACGUAUUUAAUGUUGGUGUACGUGAAUUUAGUGCAGGACGCGCUAAUUGUUCUACAAUGGGUACUCCUAGGCAAGAUAAUCACAGUUCUUCAGCAAUUAAGCCUGUAAUAAAACCGUACGGUAGAAUUGUUUUAAGUCUUAAAAACUGUCUUUUGCCCGAGAACAAACUUUGUCCUACUCCAUCACAAAACGAUGGAUUGGAUCAGGAAACAGAAACUGAUUUAAGGAUAUUAGGAUGUGAAUUAAUUCAGACGGCUGGUAUACUAUUAAAGCUUCCACAAGUUGCAAUGGCUACGGGGCAAGUUUUGUUUCAACGUUUUUAUUAUUCUAAGUCAUUUGUUCGGCAUGCAAUGGAAACAACGGCCAUGGGUUGUGUUUGUUUGGCUUCAAAAAUAGAAGAAGCUCCUAGAAGAAUUCGUGAUGUAAUCAAUGUAUUCCAUCAUAUUAAACAAGUGAAGAGUCAGAAGACGAUACAGCCCAUGAUCCUUGAUCAGAACUACAUCGCCCUCAAGACGCAGGUCAUCAAGGCAGAACGGAGGGUGCUCAAGGAGCUGGGUUUCUGUGUCCACGUCAAACAUCCUCACAAGAUAAUUGUACUGUACCUGCAAGUUCUUGGGUUUGAGAAGCACCAGAACCUGAUGCAGUUGGCCUGGAACUACAUGAAUGACUCUCUGCGGACAGACGUGUUUGUACGCUACCAACCAGAGACUGUUGCAUGUGCCUGUAUUUAUCUCACCUCGAGAAAAUUAAACAUCUCGCUGCCCAAGAUGCCGGUGUGGUUCAGCAUCUUCCGUGUCUCUGAGGAGGACAUCCAGGACGUGUGCUUCAGGAUUCUGAGGCUUUACAAGAGACCAAAGCCAAAUGCAGAGGAACUGGACAGGAGGGUGGAGGAACUGCGGCGCCACUAUCAGGAGGCCCGUAUGAAGGCGCGCGGAGGCUCUGGAAGUGGAGCAGGAGGCACUGGGGCUCAGUCUGGCAACAACACACCUGGUGGUGGCAGCAAUAGUCCCACCUCACCUUCUACACAUUCACGGUCUCGUCACAGCUCACCAACACGUUCCAGCAAGGACAAGCAUCACAACAGUGGGUCUCCUCGUUGGGGCGGAGGCUUCAUCAGUCGAAACAACCACGCCUCAGAAAAGCACCGAAGUCGAAGCAGAUCACGGACAGUCAGCCGCAGUCCACCUCCCAAACACAGCAAAAAGUCAAAGAAGAACAGAACUAGGUCAAUUUCAAGGUCAAGAUCACGAUCAAGAUCACACGAGAGGAAGUCAAAGAAGUCACACAAAAGGAGGAGUUACUCCCGAUCUCCAAGUUUAUCACCACACAAAAACUCUCGCAAAGUCUCGAGGGACAAAGGGCGUUACCGGUCGAGGUCGCACAGUCACGAUGGUCGACGUGGAGCCGAACGAUCGCGGUCUGAGAGUUAUGACCGCUAUGAGAAGUACUACACAGGUUCUGACAAGCUGAGCAGCAAGUCACGUAGCAAACACACUUCACGGGGGCUGGAUGAUGACAGGAUACGAAGCAAGGAACGUAGAUGAGACUGUGAUAGCCAUACUGUCCAAACUCUAACUCUCAACUCACCGGCAUACAGCAUUCAGAAUUGAAGAAGUUGCUGCGUUGUGACUUCGUAGAAUCAUGUUGCUGCAAAGUGGAUGAACUUGUAGCGCACUACUUGCUAUGACCUUGUGUAAGCAUAAAUUUCUUAUAUUUUAUGUGUAAUGUUCACAGACUUUCUUUCAGAGCGUUCAUAGUGAGGCUUUAAACACAACUGUAUCUUUAAAGUAUACACGUUGUCAUACUGUAAUUUCUGUCCUUUAAUUGAUUCAGUGUUUCCCAACUUCCAUCAGCUGCAACCCUAAGUCAGAUGAGAGAGUAUCCACGCAUGAGGAAGAAUUCUUCACACACUUGAAAUGGGUCAUGAAUGAUGGGAACAACUGGAUUGGUCAGACACUUCAUGGUCAGUGUUGUGGUCUACGUUGAUGACUUUGUAAGCUUGUCACUGCAGAACAAACCCUGGUGAGUUGAUGUGUGGAUGUGAGACAGCUUGUAAACACACAAUGGAAGAUGGUGCCAGAUUGAAAAUAAUCUUUCUGCAAGGAGAGUUGGUCCAGAAUAAUUGGUAGUGGAACAUUUUAGUGUUAUGAAAUGUAGCAGUUGGUGGUUGUAGAUGUAAGCUCUGGACUUCACUGCAGUAAGUGCUUGAAAGAAGGGGAGGAAUGGUUUUGUUACAAAGUGUUGGCGCUUACCUGAUGUGAACCGUACUGUGUCUCAAUCACUUUGUGUUCUGCGUACUGCACCUCAAAAGAACCUAAAUUCAGCUGCCUGUUUGCUACUAACUCCAGUAUUUCUGUUCGUCUUAGCAGUUGUAGUUGCAACAUUUCGAAAGAUUGUAGGAUUUCAGGUUCUAUCCUUGGUGAGUAGGAAGAUGGCUGUCUUCUGGGUUGUAGUCUGGUAGAAGGUAUUUGCUGCCUACAUCAUCAGCACAACCUCUGAAACGUUGGUAAACUUCUACCGGACCAUACAGUGCAACAACCCAGAAGAGAGCUUUGUUGAUUUUAAUCUCCUGCCGUGAUUCUGAACUGAUGUGGUGUACUAGAAAAAAUACAUGUUCAAAAUAUCUAUUCGGCCAGCUCUAGGUUCUUUUUACAUGGAGUGAGACUUCCAUCGCAGUGUGUUUGAACUACGAACUUCAGAAUUGUAACUGGAUCUACUCCACUUACCAUGUAUCCAAUUUUGCUGUGGAUUGGUGUAUGGUUCUUACGUAAAUAUCCUGUUACUCUACUGACUCUUAUCCCCUUCUUCAACACUGUUAUUGCCAGUUUGUUGCACAAUCUUCCUCUGCUACAUUUUGGAGGAUCUGAGUGAGGUGUAAGAACUAUAUGUUUUUAUUAAAUAUAUGUACAAGUAACUUGUAUCAUUUCUUUCAAUACUGUGAAUUUGAGGUUUUGUAAAAUAUAGUAUGAAAGUCUGUAAGUGAUCUCAGAAAGAAGCAGUAAAUUGUUUUAACCACA